UUUCUUUGAGGUGUUCUGGGUCAUAUAGUCAUUAUAUUCCUGUUGGUUCUUAAGCUUGGUAUGGAAUAUCUAGUAUAUCCAAGGUGUAAUUUAGAGUGUUGAGACCUAUGCGGAUUAUCUUGGAAGCACUUGCAAUUGCAACUGAAGCAGGUAAAACUUCCUGAAGCCUUUGUUCCUGUUGUCUAAAUUCAUGUAUGUUCAAAUAAUUCUUUUAGACCAAGACAUGUAGCUCAUCUUUCACAGCAAAUUCCUUCUUGACUCAGGUGAUAACAAGCUGGUGUUAUAAAUAAAUCUGCAACACCAUUUGGAACAUUUUCCCAUAUGCGUGAGCAUUGUCUUGAUUUAUCUUUCUGCAUAUUGUUAUUAUGAUACUUCACUGGCAAUUUUGCAGGUCUUGAAAGGACCAGUUAUUUCAACCCCAAAUAACUACCUGGAGAUGUCAACUCUUCCAUUGUUAGCGGCGGCCUCAACAUUUCCCUUCCUUUCCUGUUUGCUUUCUGCACAAGAGGCUGCACGGUACAAUAAAACGUAAGAAAAAGCGCAAACAAUCUCAAGCUUUGCGACUUUUUAAUAAUUUUCACCUUUCAUAUUGAUGCAGGAGCAUGGGCUCAAAGCAUGCAUGGAGAUCGAGUCCUCUCCUUGAGUAUGCAUCGAAUUAUAUUGGGUCGAAGAGUUUUAGUGCUAAAACACAUUGGAUCCACGAGUUUUAGCGCCAACACACACAUUGAGUCCAAGAGUUCUAGCACCAAAACAUAUUGGGUCCAAGAUUUCUAGCAUCUAGUUAUAUUGGGUUUUAAUGUUUCAACGCCCUAUUACAUUGAGACCUAGUAGCGUUGAAGAGUUCUAAUUUAUUUGGCAUUUUUGUAAUGGGUCCAUGUGUCGUAAAAGAGUCUUAGCUAAUUUAGAUACUUAGUCAUAUAUCAAUUAGAGAGUUCAAGUUAAUUAGUAGUCUUAAGUUUAGAAGUUUGUGUCCAACAUUGGGUGUGUCUAAUAUUAUAUUGAGUCUUUUUGUUUGGGCAUAUUAAGUUCUCUUGAGUUAGUGUCCAAUGCCUAAAUCACAUUGAGUCUAAGGCGUUGAAAAGUUCUUGUGUGUGUGUGGAGUCUAGUCAUUUAGUCCUCGUGACAUUUGGGAAGAGUCCUAGCCGACUUGGACUCUCAUUCCAUGCGCCAUGAAGAGUUCAAGUCGAGUGGGAGUCCUAUCUUGUUAGUUAAUUUAGACAAUUGUUUAAUUUAAAAGAGUCCAUGUCAAGUAGGAGUCCU
rnacentral:lncRNA from 1 species